AUUUGCAAAUGUAAAAUUAUAAUGGGAAACAUAAUCCUUUUGUGCACGGUCAUGUUUACUGUUAUUUACAACUUGUAAAGUCACCUGUUGUGGACCGUUAAACCGUUUUUGAUUUACUCGUAGGACAGUGGACAUUCGGGUAAUGUCUUUCUGGAAUGCCAGGUGUUGUGGUUAUUGCUAAAUCUUGUGCAACGAAAAGAAAGGCGCGUUAAUGACCAGAACGCAAUUGACACUAAAGUGGUCGUAAUUAUUGUCAGCUGACACAAACGAUUAAACGAUUUGACCUAUGGGUUAUCAGGAAGUGUGCAGCCAAUCAUCCUGAAAGGAACCUUAUGGUCGAACAUCUACUUACACAGGAUUUAGUUUCGAUCUCUCACAAAAUCGCCGGCAACAACCACCUGAUGACCGUCGAUAAUUCACACAGUCUCACCGACAAAUCUGGAUAGGAGCAAAAUCUGGCCUUAGAACAAUGAUAAGGAAUGAAUGAUAAAAUUAAAUGAAUAGAGCAGUAAAACUGAGCAACGAAAUAAAUAUGGAUAUCGGGAUUCGAGGUUCGACCUGGCAGGAUCAAGGAAAGUCGGCGAAUGCUCGUGAAAAAUUCAAAACUCUGGAAGAAACGGACGCGUCCUUGAAAGGGACAGGGAUAGGGUUUUGCAUCCGCAGGAAGGAAGAGGACGGGAAAGAAAAAUCCAGUUGAAAGCGCACUAAGAAAGUCCGCGCCAAGGAAAGUUGAAGACAGUUGCGAAUCGGGCACAUGUUUGCGUCGUGGCGCAGAAUCAAAAUGGCUGCGAACGACGCCGGAUCCAGAAGCGUCGCAUAGUUGCCACGUUGAAGCAAAAAGUGAAAAUAUAAUUUGCGUCUUUUUGCAACCGAAGUCAAUUAUGAUCAAUCAGCUUUUAAAGAUGAUUGAAAUCAGAACCUCGAUAUAUAAACGUACAUGUUAAUAAAGCGCAAGUGGGUAGUUUUUAUACAAAUUUUUCACUUCCUCUUUUGGACCUUAUAGACAUAUAACUUGCACUUGAAACAUUGAAAAAUGUACCUUUCAGUUGAUGCAUUAGCAUCCUCAAAAGCAGUCUGUGCGGGACAUAACAACUAGGCAAAUAUCCUUUUAAAGCGAGGGUGCGCUCAAGGUAAGCACUUGAUUAUUGAUAGUUCCUCCAAUGAGAAUAAAAAUGGUUCUCACCAGCAGAUAAUUUCUUAAAUAGUUAAUUUUGCAUUGUCUUGGUUGAAGCUUCGAGACCAAACCGAGUACAUUCGCAACCCUCACUGAGCUGACACCAAACUUGACAACAUCGCACUCUCUCUCAUUUCCCUCCAAAGUUUUGCUUACAAUUAGGCCUCAGUAAUUAAGAAGAGGUUCUCCACACCAAACCUCCACGUGGCAUUUCGACUGAGACCGGAAUCGAAGGAUUAGAGUAAAAAUAGGCCAAUAGUAGUGAUAAAGUAAUAAAAAAAUGGGGAUGCGGGUGGGUUUACACCCCUCUCCACGUCGCGGUAUCGAAUACGUUAUAUCAUCGAUUUUAUUUUUAAUACAUGCUGUCUAACAAUGGCGUGGAUCCGGGGGAGUGUAUAGGAGAGGGAUGGAAUGGGGGUGAAUGGGGUUCGUGUGUGAUGUUUGUUGUGUUGUUGCUUGGUUCGCUUAUUAUUGGUUUGAUGGAUUGGGCAGGAAAGUUAAUAGAAAGAAACAAAUUUUCAAUGGAAGGCUUCCUUCUGCCACAAGAAUAGGGCCCGUCAUUUUUUUCCCAUAUAUUUGGAAAACCGCAGUUUGGUAAAAAAGCGACUUGCCCAUGACAUUUCCAUUCAUUGUUUCUAGCUUUGUAACAGUUACAAUCAAUAUAUUAAGAGAUCAAUAACUAGAUGGCUUUUUUAAGGUGGAAAGCCAACUCGAGCAGGUCAAGAAAAGACAAAUUUUAAGAUGCUUUUUUCAUAUUUAUUAGAUGCAAAUAAUGGUAUUUUUCAUUUUGUUUUGCUACAGGGUACAUGUAUAAUUUUUUAUAGUUUAGUUUUAAUGCCGGGCUGAUAGUGGCGUAAACUGCAAAUUUUGUUUUGUAAAAUUGUAUUCAUUAAAGUCACUUAAUUACUGCUUGAUAGUGUAUUUUAGAGCUGGUCGAUUUGAUGAAUCCAUUACUUAUAGAUUACAAUUAUUGCAUAUAUUUCGAGGCUGUCGUUGUAAAGUUUACUAUGUAAUUUUAGAAUGGUUUUCUUUAGUUUAAAUUGAGAGAGCAAUUUUAGAUGGAUUUCUUUGAUAUUUAUAAAAGAACGUUUCCUGUUUUCUUCUCGGCUCGAUGUGGAUUAAUUUAUAUCUGUAAAUACGUUUUUUAUAAAAAAAACAAUUCCGAUUUACAAUAAUUCGACCCUGUUAAAAUACAAUUAUAAACUGGAAAAAUGUUUUGCUUCUAAUAAUAUUUGCCUUGGCGAAAACUUAAGUAUCAGUAUCACGCAUCAUUUGGAAGGACUGUUAUUUCUGGAGGCUGAUUCAAAAUUGAUCACAUUCUUUGGGAGUUCUCUGGAGCCGUAUUUAAGGAAUACGAAAAAAAAAUGAUUUAAAAUCUAGUGCUCACAGAUAUUCAGAUUUUGCAGAUAUUCGCAAAAUACGAAAUCACAAAUUUGGCAACACUGGUGUAAUUAAUCGCGCCUGCUGACGACGGGUUUUACAUUCAGAUUAGGUAAAUAUCUCUUCAUGUUCAAAUCAAAAACCACAGGUUAGACUCCAAGAAAAAUGUGAAAAACUACAUAAUUUUACUGGUCAAUAAACUUAUAAUUCAAUGUUUAAAAAUCCGUUUUUAUUGUUUGCAGGAACUAAUGCUUCUUUUUAAUGAUAAAAUGGAAAGCCUUCGUCAAGAAAUGUGCAGAGCUGAUGGGUUCGUAGAGAUGGCCUUCUUCCUGUUGUCUUAUUACACAUUUAUCUUUCAUAUAUAAAGCGAAUAUUCAUCAACUAAAUAAUGCGCUGAGAAGCAAUUACUUUCAAAUAUUGAAGUUUUUAAUUUUUCUGUUGCAGGUUCGUCAAGUCUUUGAGAUGAAAUCAGUCCGCUAAUGUUCUCUUAUCCACCGCUAAGAUAUUGAAUAAGAUCCAAUUUUUUUUCUAAUUUGUUUUACCAGUUUAUUUCAAUUCAAUUUCAAGUACUGCACAGUUGACGCAAGUCAAUAACGAAAUAAAAAAGUGAUUUAUUUUACCAGUUAAUUGUUAACAUUGUACAAAUUUAUCCGUUUUUAGUUUUUUUAUUUAUCCUGACUUUUGCAGUUCACAAAAUUAAAAUGCCAUGUUGUCGACUGCUCUCGUAAAAAGUGAACGGUUAUUUUGUAGAUAAAUUUAAUGUGUCUGUACCUAAAUCAACUAAUGACGAAUGUUUAAUUUAUCAACAAUAGAAAAAUACGAAUCGUUUUUAACACUUCUAUGAAACUGUGCUCUAACAAUAAUAUCCGAAUUAAAAGGAAUAAAUUUGUUCAAAUCACUAAGAACAAACGCUCAAGCUUGCAACCAUGCAAGAUAAAAGACUAUAGUAUUGUUGGGAUGCCUUGUAACAACACGUUACAUGAGAUUGAUGAUAGAUGAGAGAUGAGAUUAAUGACGAAGUUUUAGGGUUUUGCUUUGGUUUUUUGAUCUUUAAAAAAGGUUAUGUCUAACUACAAAUUCGAAUUAAUCUAAGUUUUUCGUACUGUAUUUAAUGGAAUUCGGUCUCCUUAUGAUUACCUAUUUCUUUGGUCAAGUUAUUGGCAAAUUGUAUUAUUUUUCUCUGAUUUGCAAACUGAGGAUCUACAAAUACAAGACCUGCCUCUACCAGCUCUACGUUUUACUGUUAUGUUCGCUUGUUGAUGUCGACUAAAAUUAAAAUGAAUAAACGUCUUUUAUUAUUUAAAUCGA